rnacentral:rRNA from 1 species
AUGAACGCUGGCGGCGUGCUUAACACCUGCAAGUCGAACGAAGCACUUUAUUUGAUUUCCUUCGGGACUGAUUAUUUUGUGACUGAGUGGCGGACGGGUGAGUAACGCGUGGGUAACCUGCCUUGUACAGGGGGAUAACAGUUGGAAACGGCUGCUAAUACCGCAUAAGCGCACGGCAUCGCAUGAUGCAGUGUGAAAAACUCCGGUGGUAUAAGAUGGACCCGCGUUGGAUUAGCUAGUUGGUGAGGUAACGGCCCACCAAGGCGACGAUCCAUAGCCGACAUGAGAGGGGGACAGGACAAAUUGGGACUGAGAAACGGACGAAACUCCUACGGGAGGCAGCAGUGGGGAAUAUUGCAAAAUGGGCGAAAGCAUGAUGAAGCGACGACGCGUGAGCGAAGAAGUAUUUCGGUAUGUAAAGCUAUAUCAGCAGGGAAGAUAAUGACGGUACCUGACUAAGAAGCACCGGCUAAAUACGUG